rnacentral:lncRNA from 1 species
AUUCAAUUCUCGCCGUCCACUCGUUUGUGCUUCUUGUAUAUUAACCCCUAACAGUUUUAGGUAGUUCUAAAACAGAUCAACUAGGGCUUGUUAAAAAUGUCAAGACUUUAGCGGCCCAUUCAUGCAUCUUGAACCGCCUACCCCGUCAAACCUUACGGGGCUAGACCUCAGCCACCCGCAGGCGCGGGGGAAAGACCUUUCCAGAGAACAGGCUCGGGCGAAGCGAGGACAUCGUUGAUUGGCUGUAGCUCCUUGAAGCCUGGAUACUGGUUUGUGAUUGGUCGCCCUCAGGUUCCGGUUUCGGAACUCCGAGGCGUUUGAGGCUUAGGUUCGGCGCGCGUGAGUCAGCCGCUGAGGUGUUCGAGUCCCCUCAGUCCGACGGUCGCGUCGGGUUAAUUUAGCGGUAGUACGUAGUCUUAGGCCCGUCUUAAAAUGGAGAAACCGAGGAGCAGAGAGAUUUAAUCGGUGGCCCCAGGCUGCACAGAGAUGCAUGCUUGUUCAAAGCCCAGGUACAAGAGUAAAAGAUGAACAUUAUAGAAGAGUAUCAGUACAGAAAACUUAUUUCUCACAUAUACUGGCAAGUGAGGACUGCAGUUAGCAAUAAAUCUUCAUUUCUGUGAAGAUUAAACAAAAUGAUAAUGCGAAAGAAGGGAAAAGCUGUAAGGUGAGAAUGAUAGUACAUUUGUAUCUUCU